rnacentral:rRNA from 1 species
GACGAACGCUGGCGGCGUGCUUAACACAUGCAAGUCGAACGGAAAGGCCCUGCUUUUGUGGGGUGCUCGAGUGGCGAACGGGUGAGUAACACGUGAGUAACCUGCCCUUGACUUUGGGAUAACUUCAGGAAACUGGGGCUAAUACCGGAUAGGAGCUCCUGCUGCAUGGUGGGGGUUGGAAAGUUUCGGCGGUUGGGGAUGGACUCGCGGCUUAUCAGCUUGUUGGUGGGGUAGUGGCUUACCAAGGCAUUGACGGGUAGCCGGCCUGAGAGGGUGAACGGCCACAUUGGGACUGAGAUACGGCCCAGACUCCUACGGGAGGCAGCAGUGGGGAAUAUUGCACAAUGGGCGGAAGCCUGAUGCAGCAACGCCGCGUGCGGGAUGACGGCCUUCGUGUUGUAAACCGCUUUCGCCUGUGACGAAGCGUGAGUGACGGUAAUGGGUAAAGAAGCACCGGCUAACUACGUG